AUUGAACGCUGGCGGCAGGCCUAACACAUGCAAGUCGAACGGUAACAGGAAGCAGCUUGCUGCUUCGCUGACGAGUGGCGGACGGGUGAGUAAUGUCUGGGAAGCUGCCUGAUGGAGGGGGAUAACUACUGGAAACGGUAGCUAAUACCGCAUAAUGUCGCAAGCCCAAAGAGGGGGACCUUCGGGCCUCUUGCCAUCGGAUGUUCCCAGAUGGGAUUCGCUUGUUGGUGGGGUAACGGCUCACCAAGGCGACGAUCCCUAGCUGGUCUGAGAGUAUGACCAGCCACACUGGAACUGAGACACGGUCCAGACUCCUACGGGAGGCAGCAGUGGGGAAUAUUGCACAAUGGGCGCAAGCCUGAUGCAGCGAGGGCGCGUGUAUGAAGAAGGCCUUCGGGUUGUAAAGUACGUUCAGCGGGGAGGAAGGGAGUAAAGUUAAUACCUUUGCUCAUUGACGUUACCCGCAGAAGAAGCACCGGCUAACUCCGUG
rnacentral:rRNA from 1 species